rnacentral:misc_RNA from 1 species
GGCGGCCACAAACUACGAGAGAACAACGUGGGUGAAUGUGCUGUAUUGCCUGCGAAACGAAGGGUUGAAUGUGGGCGGGAGCUUGUCUUCCGGCCCCGCAAAGAGUCUUAUUAGAGAUAGAUUCAAGACUUUCAACGCCAUGUUUGAGGAGGUUCACAGGACACAAUCAGCAUGGUUGAUACCAGAUUCUCAGCUGAGGGAGGAGCUGCGUAUAUCCAUAACUGAGAAGUUGAUUCCAGCUUACAGGUCGUUUCUUGGCCUCCAUGGCCACCACAUAGAGAGUGGAAAAC